UCUGCUUGCUCUGCCUGCAGGUUUGCUGAAGGCUUGGCAGUUAUUUAAAGUGAGAAACAGCCAACUCACUCUGACAUCUGGGUUUUGCUUCGCUUGCAGGGAGUCUGAAGGCUAAAACCCACACAUGGUUAUGAGAUGUGACUGGUGCUGGGCUGCCAUUUAUCAGUGAAUAGCUGUGAACUUCAUAGUUGCUUGUUUGCAGAAGUGGAAGCUGAGGAGACGGGUGGCUAGAAUUCCUUUCCUAGAGAGAAAAGAGUGAGGUGGCAACAAGAUGCUUUUCUUUGGGUGGUUUUUGUUUUCCUUCAGGGUCUGCAGAGGCAUGAUACCUGUAGGUGAUAAGGUAGGGAGGACUAUUCUGAUCUAAAUUUGAUCCUCAGACUUGCAAUUCCUGGCUGAUCUGCAGUAUUAUUUAUGACAGUGUCCUGGCCUGACUUCUAGGAUGUGUGAUGAUAUCAAUCCCCUUGGUUCAUUUUCCUGGACACUGUGCAGCACCCAUGGUGUGAUUUGUCCCAGUGUCCUUGGCUUUGGAGGUGAGGUUUUACUGCCCCGGUGUCUGAACUGCUUGGAGCCCCAAGCUGUUAUGUGGCAGUCUCUGCACAGAGGGGAUGGAGCAGCUUCUGGUUGCAGCUGAGUGCUGUGGCUCAGGAGUUGCUCUUUGUUAGCAUUCAGACAUCAGAGUGCAUUAAAAUCGUCAUCCAUCAGGAGGUUUCUCUGGCACUUCCAUUUGUCAUGUGGCCAAUGCACAAAGCAGUCUCGUCCUUCUAUCUUCUUGCUCCUCUGUGCAGAGCACAGAUGCUCUUUUGUAUCUAAUGGGAGAGAGAGCUGCUGGCACACUCUUCCUUGAUGUCCUUGAGGGCCAGUUAAUGGUUGGGAUGGAGAAGGAGAGAAAACAUCUCUCUUGCAUGCUGCUGGUGUGGAGCAGAAAUCUUGGCAGUCUCUGGUUAUCUUAGUCCUAGAAUUGGACUUGGCCCAUAAACACGUAGUUUAGCCACUGGCCGCUAUAUCCAGCUCAUAGCUUGGGUUGCUAAGUGAAAUCUGAGUGCAGAGACAGGAAGAGCUGUGAAGCCCAUUGGAAACAAAAGAGGCUCAUUUCUCAUGUCUAAUUGCUUGGGCACUUGCUGGCCUGAUCUGUGGCAGGACUCGAGGUCCAGGUGUGUCCCUAUGCACAUGACCUGCAGAAUAAUGUCUGGGAAGAAAUGUCAGGGUUUAUCUCAUGCUCUGCCUCCUUCUGCUUCCCCAGUUGUGUAUGAGCACAGAUCCCGACUGGAGCGAUCCUUGCAGAAGGAGCGAGGGGAGCACAAAAAGACAAAAGAAGAUUUUUUAGUGUACAAAUUAGAAGCUCAGGAGGCUCUCAACAAGGAGAAGCAAGACUCUAUGAACAGAUAUGGGGCCCUCAGUUCCCAGCACAAGAUCCUGAAGGUAAGAUUCUGGUCUGGUUCCAGCGCUCACUGUGUG